GAGAGCCGGAUGCGGGAGAUCUGCAUGUCCGGUUCGAUGAGCGGGGUGUGGAAACGGAGCAACGGCUCGGCUAGUGAGGCACCGCCAGGCGAAAGCGGCGGAAACAGAUAGGCCGAUCCUACCGCCACCGCGCCACACCUCGACUCUAC
rfam:Microvirga sp. V5/3M plasmid unnamed1, complete sequence.